rnacentral:misc_RNA from 1 species
AAUUUUCUGACAGCCACACCAAUAGCUUUAUUACACAAAGAUGCUACGGAACAAGGCAAGACAAAAUAUCAUCCAAGUCAGCCACAACACAAUGCAAAUCCUUAACCAAGGGAAGUAUUGUACAGAGACCUGCAUUUUGGCAACCAAUUUAUCCUGUGAUGCUGACGAACAAGCCUUUAUCUUGAACUUAUUGUUGCAGUACUUAGUUUCUUUAGGUGACGUUUAUUGUGACAGGAAUGUGCCUGUAUAUUAACUCACUGUUUGAUAAGCCACAGGCUUUGACAAAGCCCCUUUCUUUCUGACUAUUUCUAUUUUGACAACGCCUCAUCAGGCUUUGCAGAUGGAUCUUGCAACCCACAGACCAUGUUUGCAGGAACAGCUAUGUCAAUCAUCUUUGGAUAUGGAAGGUUUAGAUUUGCCAUAAUACUCUUAAACUCUUCCUCGUCUUUGGUAAGCCUGGGGUUAUAUAGCAUUUCCUCUCCAACGGUACUAACAGUGAAUCCCUUGUAAUCAUGAGCAGGAUAGAGCAAAGUUUCCUUUGGCAAGGUGAAUAUCUGUGAAUGCACUGACUGAUAGAGUUGUUGUGAACUUCCACCCUGAAAAUCAGUUCUUCCACAUCCCCGUAUUAGUAAAGCAUCCCCAGUGAAAGCCAUUCUUGGCUGGGGUUGAUCAGGCGCAUCUCCAGUAACAUAAGUAACACAACCUAAAGUAUGGCCAGGAGUAGCUCGAACCUCCAGAAAUAAAUCACCAAAAUGUAUCUUAUCGCCAGCUUCAAUAAGAACAUCAGCUUUUGAUUUGCUUGCUUUUGAAAUGAUAGAUUUGACACCAGGAACCCUCGUCUUUACCAAGCCAGUUCCUGUUAUAUGAUCAGCAUGUACAUGGGUGUUCAUGGCAUAAAUUAGCUUCAGCCCUAGUUCUUUCACAAGGGUGAGGUCUCUGUCUACUGUCCUGUCAACCGGGUCAAUCAACAGAGCAGGCUUAUCAGGGUGAUCGACGUCGGCGAGCAAAUAGGUAUAGGUAGAGGAUUCCUUCUCGAAAAGCUGGCGAAACAAGAGCUUGUUUGAGUACCAAGAAGAAGAAGAAGAAGA